UGAGGAAUAUUGGUCAAUGGGCGAGAGCCUGAACCAGCCAAAUCGCGUGAAGGAAGACUGCCUUAUGGGUUGUAAACUUCUUUUAUACAGGAAUAAAAAAGGGGACGUGUCCCUUAUUGCAUGUACUGUAUGAAUAAGCAUCGGCUAACUCCGUGCCAGCAGCCGCGGUAAUACGGAGGAUGCGAGCGUUAUCCGGAUUUAUUGGGUUUAAAGGGUGCGCAGGCGGGCUUUUAAGUCAGCGGUGAAAUCUCGGGGCUUAACUCCGAAACUGCCGUUGAAACUGGGAGUCUUGAGUAUGGAUGAAGUAGGCGGAAUUCGUUGUGUAGCGGUGACAUGCUUAGAUAUAACGAGGAACUCCGAUUGCGUAGGCAGCUUACUAAGCCAUAACUGACGCUCAAGCACGAAAGCGUGGGGAUCAAACAGGAUUAGAUACCCUGGUAGUCCACGCCGUAAACGAUGAUUACUAGUUGUAUGCGAUAUACCGUAUGUGACUAAGCGAAAAGCGAUAAGUAAUCCACCUGGGGAGUACGCCGGCAACGGUGAAACUCAAAUGAAUUGACGGGGUCAUAGCUG
rnacentral:rRNA from 1 species